CCCUUAGAUGUUCUGGGCCGCACGCGCGCUACACUGAUGCAUUCAACAAGCCUAGCCUUGACCGAGAGGUCCGGGUAAUCUUUGAAACUGCAUCGUGAUGGGGCUAGAUUAUUGCAAUUAUUAAUCUUCAACGAGGAAUGCCUAGUAAGCGUGAUUCAUCAAAUCGCGUUGAUUACGUCCCUGCCCUUUGUACACACCGCCCGUCGCUUCUACCGAUUGAAUGUGUUGGUGAGGAGCUCGGAUUGGCAGCAGUUGGUGGUUCGCCACCGGCUAUUGCUGAGAAGUCCUCCAAACCGCCCCAUUUAGAGGAAGGAGAAGUCGUAACA
rnacentral:rRNA from 1 species